rnacentral:rRNA from 1 species
AAUUUUGGACAAUGGGGGAAACCCUGAUCCAGCCAUCCCGCGUGCAUGAUGAAGGCCUUCGGGUUGUAAAGUACUCUUGGCAGAGAAGAAAAGGUAUCUCCUAAUACGAGAUACUGCUGACGGUAUCUGCAGAAUAAGCACCGGCUAACUACGUGCCAGCAGCCGCGGUAAUAAGUAGGGUGCAAGCGUUAAUCGGAAUUACUGGGGGGAAAGCGUGUAGGCGCGGUUCGGAAAGAAGGUGUGAAAUCCCAGGGCUCAACCUUGGAACUGCAUUUUUAACUGCCGAGCUAGAGUAUGUCAGAGGGGGGUAGAAUUCCACGUGUAGGAGUGAAAUGCGUAGAUAUGUGGAGGAAUACCGAUGGCGAAGGCAGCCCCCUGGGAUAAUACCGACGCUCAGACACGAAAGCGUGGGGAGCAAACAG